rnacentral:rRNA from 1 species
AUUGAACGCUGGCGGCAUGCUUUACACAUGCAAGUCGAACGGCAGCACGGACUUCGGUCUGGUGGCGAGUGGCGAACGGGUGAGUAAUACAUCGGAACGUACCCAGUAAUGGGGGAUAACUAUCCGAAAGGAUAGCUAAUACCGCAUACGCCCUACGGGGGAAAGAGGGGGAUCGCAAGACCUCUUGUUAUUGGAGCGGCUGAUGGCUGAUUAGCUAGUUGGUGAGGUAAAGGCUCACCAAGGCGACGAUCAGUAGCGGGUCUUAGAGGACGAUCCGCCACACUGGAACUGAGACACGGUCCAGACUCCUACGGGAGGCAGCAGUGGGGAAUCUUGGACAAUGGGCGCAAGCCUGAUCCAGCAACGCCGCGUGCGUGAAGAAGGCCUUCGGGUUGUAAAGCGCUUUUGUCAGGGAGCAAAAGGUGGUGGCUAAUAUCCAUCGCUCUUGAGAGUACCUGAAGAAUAAGGACCGGCUAACUACGUGCCAGCCGCCGCCGUAAAAC